rnacentral:tRNA from 1 species
GGGCUGUUAGCUCAGUUGGUAGAGCAGCGGACUCUUAAUCCGUAGGUCGAAGGUUCGAAUCCUUCACAGCCCACCA